GAGUAACACGUGGGUAACCUACCUAUAAGACUGGAAUAACUCCGGGAAACCGGGGCUAAUGCCGGAUAACAUGUUGAACCGCAUGGUUCUACAGUGAAAGACGGUCUUGCUGUCACUUAUAGAUGGACCCGCGCCGUAUUAGCUAGUUGGUGGGGUAACGGCCUACCAAGGCGACGAUACGUAGCCGACCUGAGAGGGUGAUCGGCCACACUGGAACUGAGACACGGUCCAGACUCCUACGGGAGGCAGCAGUAGGGAAUCUUCCGCAAUGGGCGAAAGCCUGACGGAGCAACGCCGCGUGAGUGAUGAAGGUCUUCGGAUCGUAAAGCUCUGUUGUUAGGGAAGAACAAAUGUGUAAGUAACUGUGCACAUCUUGACGGUACCUAACCAGAAAGCCACGGCUAACUACGUGCCAGCAGCCGCGGUAAUACGUAGGUGGCAAGCGUUAUCCGGAAUUAUUGGGCGUAAAGCGCGCGUAGGCGGUUUUUUAAGU
rnacentral:rRNA from 1 species